GAGUUUGAUCCAUGGCUCAGGAUGAACGCUGGCGGCGUGCUUAACACAUGCAAGUCGAACGAAGAUGCCGGAGUGCUUGCACUUUGGCAGACUGAGUGGCGGACGGGUGAGUAACGCGUGGGUAACCUGCCUUAUACAGGGGGAUAACAGUUGGAAACGACUGCUAAUACCGCAUAAGCGCACGGUAUCGCAUGAUACAGUGUGAAAAACUCCGGUGGUAUAAGAUGGACCCGCGUCUGAUUAGCUUGUUGGGUGAGGUAACGGCCCACCAAGGCGACGAUCAGUAGCCGGCCUGAGAGGUGAACGGCCACAUUGGGGACUGAGACACGGCCCAAAUCCUACGGGAGGCA
rnacentral:rRNA from 1 species